CGUGCUUACCAUGCAAGUCGAACGCUGAAGCUUGGUGCUUGCACUGGGUGGAUGAGUGGCGAACGGGUGAGUAAUACGUGAGUAACCUGCCCUUGACUCUGGGAUAAGCCUGGGAAACUGGGUCUAAUACUGGAUACGACAUGUCACCGCAUGGUGGCGUGUGGAAAGGGUUUUACUGGUUUUGGAUGGGCUCACGGCCUAUCAGCUUGUUGGUGGGGUAAUGGCUCACCAAGGCGACGACGGGUAGCCGGCCUGAGAGGGUGACCGGCCACACUGGGACUGAGACACGGCCCAGACUCCUACGGGAGGCAGCAGUGGGGAAUAUUGCACAAUGGGCGAAAGCCUGAUGCAGCGACGCCGCGUGAGGGAUGACGGCCUUCGGGUUGUAAACCUCUUUCAGCACGGAAGAAGCGAAAGUGACGGUACGUGCAGAAGAAGCGCCGGCUAACUACGUGCCAGCAGCGCGGGGGU
rnacentral:rRNA from 1 species